rnacentral:tRNA from 1 species
AGGAGUGUAGCUCAGCCCGGUAGAGCAGCGGUCUCCAAAACCGUCGGUCAGGGGUUCGAAUCCUCUCACUCCUGCCA